GUCCACGCCGUAAACGAUGUCUACUAGUUGUCGGGGGUCUUGUAUCCUUGGUAACGAAGCUAACGCGAUAAGUAGACCGCCUGGGGAGUACGGCCGCAAGGUUAAAACUCAAAUGAAUUGACGGGGGCCCGCACAAGCGGUGGAGCAUGUGGUUUAAUUCGAAGCAACGCGAAGAACCUUACCUGGCCUUGACAUCCUGCGAACCCUUUAGAGAUAGAGGGGUGCCUUCGGGAACGCAGUGACAGGUGCUGCAUGGCU
rnacentral:rRNA from 1 species